GGGCUCGUAGUCAAACCCGGCAUGACGUCUGCUUGACGUGCAGAAGGCUUCCGGUUCAAAUCCGGACGGGCCCACCA
rnacentral:tRNA from 1 species